UACGGCCAUAACUUAUUGUAACGGCGAUUCUCGUACGAUCACCGAACUUAAGCAACGUCGAGCCAGGUCAGUACCUAGAUGGGUAACCGCUUGGGAAUGCCAAGUGCUGUAA